rnacentral:rRNA from 1 species
AACAGGAUUAGAUACCCUGGUAGUCCACGCUGUAAACGAUGUCGACUUGGAGGUUGUGCCCUUGGGGCGUGGCUUCCGGAGCUAACGCGUUAAGUCGACCGCCUGGGGAGUACGGCCGCAAGGUUAAAACUCAAAUGAAUUGACGGGGGCCCGCACAAGCGGUGGAGCAUGUGGUUUAAUUCGAUGCAACGCGAAGAACCUUACCUACUCUUGACAUCCAGAGAAUUUGCUAGAGAUAGCUUAGUGCCUUCGGGAACUCUGAGACAGGUGCUGCAUGGCUGUCGUCAGCUCGUGCUGUGAAAUGUUGGGUUAAGUCCCGCAACGAGCGCAACCCUUAUCCUUUGUUGCCAGCGAGUAAUGUCGGGAACUCAAAGGAGACUGCCGGUGAUAAACCGGAGGAAGGUGGGGAUGACGUCAAGUCAUCAUGGCCCUUACGAGUAGGGCUACACACGUGCUACAAUGGCAUAUACAAAGAGAAGCGAACUCGCGAGAGCAAGCGGACCUCAUAAAGUAUGUCGUAGUCCGGAUUGGAGUCUGCAACUCGACUCCAUGAAGUCGGAAUCGCUAGUAAUCGUAGAUCAGAAUGCUACGGUGAAUACGUUCCCGGGCCUUGUACACACCGCCCGUCACACCAUGGGAGUGGGUUGCAAAAGAAGUAGGUAGCUUAACCUUCGGGAGGGCGCUUACCACUUUGUGAUUCAUGACUGGGGUGAAGUCGUAACAAGGUAACC